CUGGGGAACUGAAUGACUGAAUAAUACAUUAAGACGAUUUGGAGUGUUUGAGCCUGGUUCCUCAGCAGAUACCUGUGUUACGGCUUCUUGGUAACAGAACCAUUCUGUUCUUAGACCUGGGAAUGAAAUCAUACUGAUUGCAACACUCUGUAGCUGCCCCAGCUAGAUCAGAACUGUUGUUGUUCUAGAAUCACCAGAGUCAAGAGAAUCCUUGACUUGAAGAUUUUAAGGGCUAGAGAGGAGCCCUGUCCUGGUGUCUCAGGGCCAGGCCAAAUCAGCCUAACUGUUAAUAUGAAAUUUGACCUCUGUAGGACCAGAAGUGUUGUAGUGUCCAUGUGGUUGGAGGGACACAAGCGUUUAUGAUGCAACAACUAAGUAGAGGAUGCAAGAAAUGGCAUUAUUGCUAGGCAACUUGGCUCAUUAACUCUUACGGCUUUGGUCAAGGCGCUACCCUGUGCAAACUAGCCCUCCCCCCCUCUUCCCUGACACCCGGGAUGGUUGAUUUUGAUUGUCAACUUGAUUGGCUUGAAAGCACCUAGGAGAUCAGUAAAGCACUCUUUUGGAUGGGUCACAGGAUGCGAUCUUGAGGACUGUGUCUGGUCCCUGCCCCCUUCAACUCCUGCUCUCUUCCUGCUUCCCAACUGCCAGGAGUUGAGCAGCUUUCCUCCGCCACACCACUGAAACCUAUGAAACUGAGCCAAAUAAACCCUUUCUCCUUUAACUUGUCCUGCUCAGGUCCUCUGCGCAGGGAAAGCCGCGGCCGCCGGCCCAGCUCUCAGGGAGGCUGAGAGGAAGAACCUCACUGCAGGAAGAAGAGGCUGCUGCAGAGGUAACAGCGGGGACCACGGCCAGCGCAGGGGGAUGAGCGCGUCCGGAGAUAACGGGCGGACUGCGCCAAGCCCUCUCGGCUGGACCUCCAGCGCUCCGACUCGGGCCUCAGUUAUCGUCCAGGUCCCCCAGCACGGCUCCAAAAGUGACAGCCACGUGGAUCCCCACGCGCGCGAGGCGGGGGAUGGAAGGUUGGAGGGGUGCGGGGCUGGCAGAGCGCCCUAGAGGGUUAACCGGGGCCCGAGUCCGUGCCCGAGCGCCGGCUGCCGGGC
rnacentral:lncRNA from 1 species